rnacentral:rRNA from 1 species
AUUGAACGCUGGCGGCAUGCCUUACACAUGCAAGUCGAACGGUAACGCGGGGCAACCUGGCGACGAGUGGCGAACGGGUGAGUAAUGUAUCGGAACGUGCCCAGUUGUGGGGGAUAACUGCUCGAAAGAGCAGCUAAUACCGCAUACGACCUGAGGGUGAAAGCGGGGAUCGCAAGACCUCGCGCAAUUGGAGCGGCCGAUAUCAGAUUAGGUAGUUGGUGGGGUAAAGGCUCACCAAGCCGACGAUCUGUAGCUGGUCUGAGAGGACGACCAGCCACACUGGGACUGAGACACGGCCCAGACUCCUACGGGAGGCAGCAGUGGGGAAUUUUGGACAAUGGGCGCAAGCCUGAUCCAGCCAUGCCGCGUGCGGGAAGAAGGCCUUCGGGUUGUAAACCGCUUUUGUCAGGGAAGAAAAGGCUCCUGUUAAUACCGGGGGCUCAUGACGGUAUCUGAAGAAUAAGCACCGGCUAACUACGUGCCAGCCGCCGCCGUAAAAC